GCCAGGCGUUGUGGCGGGCGCCUGUGGUCCCAGCUACUUGGGAGGUGGAGGCAGGAGAAUCUCUUGAGCCCAGGAGUUGGAGGUUGCUGUGAGCUGUGAUGCCAUGGCACUCUACCCAGGUGGACAGCUUGAGGCUCCAUCUUUUUUUUUUUUUUUUUUUUUUGAGACAGAGCCUCCAGUUAUCCCCCUGGAUAGAGUGCCGUGGAAUUACAGCUCACAGCAACCUCCAACUCCUGGGCUCAAGCGAGUCUCCUGCCUCUG
rfam:Otolemur garnettii contig087293, whole genome shotgun sequence.